ACUUACAAAUGGCAUGUUUAAUUCAGUACAUUACUUGCAGUUUCUUUGUCAUGUAUUGUUCUAAAAUACAUAUGUAAAUUUAAAUACAAUCUCCUAAGUAAUAUUCACUUAUUGUUCGCCAUCUAAUCAAAUCACACCAAAAAAUGAACAACUCAAGUAAAAUAUACUCAGUAAAGCAAGAUAAUUUAUGCGCAUGCGUCUUUGACUUCGAGUCUGAAGUGGCGCGCACAGAGGAAAGGAAUGGAGACUUCACGACGGCUAAUUUGAAGUUUACCACGAUAUUGCACCCACUAUUCAAGCAAAUGCAAGAUAAAAAAUGAAUUCAGAAGAAUCACCACAAUUUCCUUGGAGCGUACAUUCUUGUAAAAACUGGACUUCUAUACCCCAAAACUCCUGACUUUGUUUGAGAUGAGGGGUGGGGUUGCUGGCAUAAGAAUUAAACAUUUGCUGGAUUCACUCAGCCAGCAAGAAGAAAGCCUUGAAGAUAGGUGAGACGUUGUGAUUCACUGCCUCCUAUCUUUCCUGGGAGAAUCAGCUGAGGACCUCACUGAAGACCACCAGGAUAUCAGCAGAGACAUUAUUAAGGAUACCUUCUCCAGUCAUGUCAUGAAACUGAGCAGAUCUGUGGAAGAAGAUGCCAGUAUGUCUGAUGUCAUCAUUGUAAUUGAGGGAACUGAGGUGCUGCUGGGAUGUAAGAAUCUCACAAAUGCAUGUUUGUCACUCACAGGUUGCAUUAACUCCCUAAACUUAAGCUAUCCCCCAAAGCUGAGAAACACAUUUGAAGUGUUUCAGAACAUUUUUCUUGGGCUAGAUGCUUUUAAAUUUUCUCCAAAGGUUAACUGUGCAUAGAAAGCUUCUAAUGUAAUCUGCUAGUUGGGCACUUCUUGCACUUAUUGUACUGUUUUUGUUGUUGUUGUUGUUUGUUUUGUUUUUUAGAAAGAAAGGUUAUUCACAAAACAACUUCAACUACAGUACUAUUUAACAUAGCCAUUCUUAUACAUUUUAAGUAAUGCUUUCUGCUGGAGACCAUAAAGUUUUAUUAUUUUAUUUGAUGUCUUUGUUCCCUUCAUUUAAUGUAAUUGAAAUUAAAAUAAGCUAAUGAAAGGCAGCUACUAGUUUGACUAUUUGCACUUUUGUUUUUGAUAUCUGCAACUGGGAUUGUUG